rfam:Gorilla gorilla gorilla genomic chromosome, chr18, whole genome shotgun sequence
AUCACCUAGGGAUCUUGUUAAAAUGCCGAUUCUCAUUGAGUGGCUCUGAGGUGGGGCCAGGGUUAGCAUUUCUAAUAAGCUCCCAGGUGAUGCCUA